CACUAAUGAAGGUGUAAAUAGCUUUCCAGCAACCGCCAUUGUUUGUGGCAGUUUGAGGCGUCCUGAAGCUAGAUUUUGCUUGAAAAUGCCGUUCCCUAAAGAAAAUAAGAACAGGGUUAUGAUAUGACAGGCAGCUUUGGUAAAUGGAAAAACGGAAAACAAGAACUUGAAAGUUCCGUUUGAAGAAAAUUGAGCCAAAAAUCAAGAGCCUGAUAAACAACAAGAACCCAUUGACAUCGUCGCUCUUAAAAAGCAACUCUCUUCUGAAGAUCUUUUCAUUUCUAGCUUAUGUACCAAUUUUCCAACUCGGGGUGUUUCUACAGUUCAAGAUCUCAAUAGUAACAAGAUUGGUGUUGACCACAAUAGUUCUAUCCAAAAAAUUUACAUCAGGAACCAUGCUUCCAAUCCUGAAAGAACUGCAAGAUCAUCUAGCAGCUAAGCUCUCACAAUUCACAGGGAGAAAAUGAAACCCUAGCUUGAACAGGAGUUAGGCAAAUUGAAGAUGAAGAAACAAAAAUGGAAAAAUAACAAGAUGACGUCCAAAAUAGCAAAACUUGCACAAACCACUCAGGCAGCAUUUGCGUCAUCUAGCUCUGAUCAUACAGAGUUUGUGAAAAACAGAAAUUUCUGAGCCAAGAAUAACAAGUACACUGGGGAAGCCAAUUUGCAACAGUGAAGGCCACCUGGUUCUCAGAAUAUUUGAUUUUGGAGAACUAAUUACGCCUUUACCCAUUCUGAAAAAGACCACUUAAGAUCCAAAAGGAGCAAUGAUAAAAAAAAAAUAUCAAAGAAAACGUGAAAAUCUUGGAAGGCAAAGGUGAAGUUGAGAAGGCAAGAAGCAUUGAAGAGAAACAGGCAUGGGAAGAUUCUCUGCAAAGAGCUGAAAGUGUUACGGUAAAAGACGAUGUGGAAUUGCUUGACAAAUCAAUGAAGAAACGAGAUAAAAUCAAAUGAGAAAUUAAAAAGAAGUGGACAAACGCAUCGAAGAACACAAAGAGAGAAAAGCCAACGUUAAGAAAUAGAAAAAUUAAAAGAAAGAACCUAAACCAAUGAAAAAAGACCAAUUUAUCGUAGGAAUGGCCGAUACUGACUCUUGGAUGAGCUAACUCGUGUUCUAUUAUUUGCAAAACAUGUGAAAGUUUUGUAUAAAAAUAAACUGGCAUGCCUUCCAUGAUCGUAGAUAAUUUGAAUAAAAAUAUCUCAGAUGCAUUAAU